rnacentral:ncRNA from 12 species
AGGAGGAGCCGCCCAUCGUCUGCAAAGCAGACGAUUCUCAUGGCGGCGACGACUUGCCGCCGAAGCGGAGCUGAGGGGGCGCUACCAUUG